rnacentral:rRNA from 1 species
UACGGAGGGUGCAAGCGUUGUCCGGAAUCACUGGGCGUAAAGGGCGCGUAGGCGGCUCAUGAAGGCUGUGGUGAAAGUCCGGGGCUCAACCUCGGAUCGGCCGUGGCGACUCGUGGGCUGGAGCACUGUAGAGGCGGGUGGAAUUCCGGGUGUAGCGGUGGAAUGCGUAGAGAUUCGGAAGAACACCAGUGGCGAAGGCGGCCCGCUGGGCAGUGGCUGACGCUGAGGCGCGACAGCGUGGGGAGCAAACAGG